rnacentral:lncRNA from 1 species
CUGGCACUAGGUGGUGCCCGUACACAGGCGGAGGGCCCGGCGCUGCCCGGCCGGGGCAUGGAGCAAACCUGAGGGCCGCCCUGGGCAGGGGUGCUGGGAAGGUGGUAUCCGCGGGGUUCUGCCGAGUGGAACGGCUCGUGUGUUAUGCCAUCAGAUCCAACGAAAAGACGCAAAAUCCUUUCUCACCAUGUGGGCUCUGAAGAAGCAGUGAGGGCCGCGUGGGACUGAGGACACUGGAGUCCCAUCAGCACAGGAACAGGAGGAAGGCACAGCAAGGUCACCUUCCAGCUCUGAGCUGGUGCAGAAGAUGGAGGAGCGGUGCAGAAGGCAGGUGGGACUGGAGACCCUGCAGCUGCUUUCUGAACCCAUUG